CAUCCGCUUGAGUUGCGGUUGGUCCCCGUGGCGGUACGGCCAGUGGGUGUCUUUCCUGGGAAGGCGACCUUUGGAGGCCCUCUGACCCGAGGCCGGCAGGGACCGGAGGGCGAGGGAGCCCUGUCGGUUAGAGUGCAGUCCGCCGGCGCGGUUUUCUUGGCGCGCCUCCUGACACGGGGCGGGGAGAGUAGUGUUGCCUCGCGGGUGUGGACGCGUCGUCGUUUGUGGAGAAUGAGUGAUGACCUCUCUGAUGAAGUCUCCUGUCACCGUCACCGAAGGCAAAGGAACAGCUCAACUGACCUAAGGUAAGAGGAGAUGAGCACCAAUCUUGGCGGCCGGGCGGGGGCCAGGAGGCUACCGGGGAGA